CUGUUCCACAGUCACUGAAGUAAAAUUUCUUCCUCGAGCUUCAGCAAUGUGGAGUUCUUAAGGCUUUAGAGGAGAGGCAAUAGAGUGUUUCCAGAUGUUUGAAAAAUAUCUUUGUAGGCAGAAUGCUCAGCAAAUGAGAUUUUACUUUGGCCGUGCUUACCUUUGAGGAAGUUCAGAGAUUUCAACUAUUUAAGUUGAAGUAUGAAGUCCAUUUUGAAUUCAAUUUCAGGUUCUCUUCUUGUGUCUGCCUGUGUAGCUCCCAGAGCAGCUGGAGUCUCCAUGAGCCCCUCUGGGUAAGACUUAGAUGCUGGGGAUUGUGUGACCUCAACUGCCCAGAUGCACAGAAGACCAUGCUGCUGGAAGACGGGGUGAUGGUGAGACAUGGGUCCGGGAUUUCUACUAUGGGGAAGCAGAGCAAGUGUUGGAGGCAAGAGGAGUGCUGAUGAGAAUGGUCCAACUGGGGAGGAGCACAGACUGGGCCUGAAUCAAACAGUAGUUAUGAUUGGAUGAUCCGCUGAAGAAUCAAGAGAUCGCUGGCUCUUUUUGGAAUUGUUUUUGGACUUUUAUUUUAAGAAAGAGGAGGAAGCAAAUAUCAAAAGUAUGCCUGUACUAUGCCAAGACCUUUUUUUUUUUUAAAGAAAGUGGGAAUAAACACUGGAUAUACAAACUUUGUAGUGGAGAAUAAGAAAUAUUAAAAAAAAAAAAACUAAGAAACUUGGAAGAGCGAAGGGUCAUAUAUUCAGAAUACUAAAAUGGAUUCAAUCACAUUUAAAUAAAAACUUGUAGGAAUGAUUAACCAG
rnacentral:lncRNA from 1 species